rnacentral:rRNA from 1 species
CCUACGGGAGGCAGCAGUGGGGAAUAUUGCACAAUGGGGGAAACCCUGAUGCAGCGACGCCGCGUGAGUGAAGAAGUAUUUCGGUAUGUAAAGCUCUAUCAGCAGGGAAGAAAACAGACGGUACCUGACUAAGAAGCCCCGGCUAACUACGUGCCAGCAGCCGCGGUAAUACGUAGGGGGCAAGCGUUAUCCGGAUUUACUGGGUGUAAAGGGAGCGUAGACGGCGCGGCAAGUCUGAAGUGAAAGGUAGGGGCUUAACCCCUGAACUGCUUUGGAAACUGCCAUGCUAGAGUGCUGGAGAGGUAAGUGGAAUUCCUAGUGUAGCGGUGAAAUGCGUAGAUAUUAGGAGGAACACCAGUGGCGAAGGCGGCUUACUGGACAGUAACUGACGUUGAGGCUCGAAAGCGUGGGGAGCAAACAGGAUUAGAUACCCGGGUAGUC